CCUACGGGUGGCAGCAGUGAGGAAUAUUGGUCAAUGGACGAGAGUCUGAACCAGCCAAGUAGCGUGAAGGAUGACGGCCCUAGGGGUGGUAAACUUCUUUUAUAUGGGAAUAAAAGGUUGCACGUGUGGGAUUUUGUAUGUACCAUAUGAAUAAGGAUCGGCUAACUACGUGCCAGCAGCCGCGGUAAUACGGAGGAUCCGAGCGUUAUCCGGAUUUAUUGGGUUUAAAGGGAGCGUAGGUGGAUUGUUAAGUCAGUUGUGAAAGUUUGCGGCUCAACCGUGAAAUUGCAGUUGAAACUGGCAGUCUUGAGUACAGUAGAGGUAGGCGGAAUUCGUGGUGUAGCGGUGAAAUGCUUAGAUAUCACGAAGAACUCCGAUUGCGAAGGCAGUUCACUGGACUGCAACUGACGCUGAGGCUCGAAAGUGUGGGUAUCAAACAGGACUAGAUACCCGGGUAGUC
rnacentral:rRNA from 1 species